rnacentral:rRNA from 1 species
AUACGGAGGGGGCUAGCGUUGUUCGGAUUUACUGGGCGUAAAGCGCGCGUAGGCGGUAUAUCAAGUUAGGCGUGAAAGCCCCGGGCUCAACCCGGGAACUGCACUUAUUACUGAUAAACUAGAGUCCGGGAGAGGGUGGCGGAAUUCCCAGUGUAGAGGUGAAAUUCGUAGAUAUUGGGAAGAACACCAGUUGCGAAGGCGGCCACCUGGACCGGUACUGACGCUGAGGUGCGAAAGCGUGGGGAGCAAACAGGAUUAGAAACCCCGGUAGUCC